rnacentral:lncRNA from 1 species
UAUUUCAUGUUUUUAUUUCAAAAGAAAAAAGGAUACCAAGAAGCAGAAGAAUGAAGCAGUUAAAACCAGCAAAGCUGCAAAGUAGGAAAGAAAGCUGAGGGAGAGAUUGAUCCGAUUUCAACGAUGUGGCCACUUAAUGCAAACACAGGGGUCUGAUGCUGCAAACCUAAGUCACAUGAGUCCAGUGACUUCAGCAGGUCCACUGAUCCACCACAGUGACAGGGCCAGGCCCCUUCCUGCUGAAUCCUAACUUUACACAUUCUAGACACAUGUCAUGCACAUACAGGUUACACUUUAUGGUUACAUGAAAUUGCAUGCAAUUCACACAGAGAAUCAUUUUGAAGGCACUGUAUUUUGCAGCAGGAGCUGCUACUUUCUGGCAAGUCCUUCCUAGGUUGGCUCACAAGUGGUCCUCCUUUUUAUUUAUUCCUAUAUGAAACUUUGGUCCAAAAAUCAGGUGCAGUCUGAUCCUACCCUCCCAGCUGUUUUAGUUUCAUGUCUCACCUUCUCUUCCACGUUCCCUUCUUAAACGUAGAUGUCAAGCUUAGAAGAUGUUUCCUGACAAUGAGAUCCUGUUUAAUUCAGAUUUUCAAACAACUUGAGUCAAGCAAGCAGGAGCUUAUAGUAUGUUGAUUUAAAACAAGUUGUUACCAGUUUCCCUUACCCUUGAAUUCGGCAAGGCCCAUUAAUUCACAAAUUCCAUGAUAAGAUACAUGAGGUUCUGUAUGCAUAGUAAAUGAUUUCUAGUUACAAUUAAAAUACAGCCUUGUAUAUGUUUAAGUCAACCUUAACUUUUAAAACAUGACUUCAGUAUACGCAACCUUAGGCUCACUUCCAGAUUAUAAAGUCCCAUUCAUGGGGUGCAAAUGUUUACAUUGUUAGCAAAGAAAAUGAUUGGAAUCAGUCUUUCUGAACGGCAGAAUGUGCUUCCAGGUUGAAGCACAAUGGAGAAUGUACUGAAGCCACCACAGAGAUGCUGGUAAUUCAAACUGUGAAAGCACGUGGCGCAGAGGAAACUGACACAGAACAGCACACCACUGGUGCUUUAUGCAACACCACUGACCCCAAGAUGGUCACUCCAUUGAUUUUUCCGCAUUGUUUACAUCCAGGAUGCAUGCUGUCCAGUGCAAUAGCGUCUAUGACUAUAAAACAACUAAAAGCUGCACUUAAGAUGGGAGAGCCAAACUCAGAUCUUUUUUCUCCUUCUCUUCAAAGAUCAAAAGAAGAAUAAACCAAAAAAGAUUAAAAAAAAAGAAUAAACCAACCAGUAGCUGCCGAGAAUACAGUGAAAGAGGAAAUUCAGAACUCAACUUUAUCGGGGAUGGGCACGGUCGCUUAUGCCUGUAAUCCCAACACUUUGGGAGGCCAAGGUGGGUGGAUCACCUGAGGUCAGGAGUUCGAGACCAGCCUGGCCAAUACGGUGAAACCCUGUCUCUACUAAAAAUACAAAAAUUAGCCGGGUGUGGUGGCGCAUGCCUGUAGUCCCAGCUACUAAGGAGGCUGAGGUAGGAGAAUCGCUUGAACCCGGG